rnacentral:rRNA from 1 species
CCGCAUUCGCCCUUCGGGGCGCACCAGGCGCGAAAACUUUGCAAUGCGGGAAACCGUGACAAGGGAACUCUGAGUGCCCGUUAAAUCGGGCUGUCCAUCGGUUUAAAUAACCGGUGAAGAAAGGGCCGGGCAAGACCGGUGCCAGCCGCCGCGGUAAUACCGGCGGCUCGAGUGGUGGCCACUAUUACUGGGCUUAAAGCGUUCGUAGCUGGUUUGUUAAGUCUCUGGGGAAAUCUUCCGGCUUAACCGGAAGGCGUCUCAGGGAUACUGGCAGACUAGGGACCGGGAGAGGUGAGAGGUACUCCAGGGGUAGGAGUGAAAUCCUGUAAUCCUUGGGGGACCACCUGUGGCGAAGGCGUCUCACCAGAACGGCUCCGACAGUGAGGGACGAAAGCUGGGGGAGCAAACCGGAUUAGAUACCCGGGUAGUCCCAGCUGUAAACGAUGCGCGUUAGGUGUAUCGGUGACCACGAGUCACCGAGGUGCCGAAGAGAAAUCGUGAAACGUGCCGCCUGGGAAGUACGGUCGCAAGGCUGAAACUUAAAGGAAUUGGCGGGGGAGCAC